AUGAAAAUAUUCUAUAUAUACCAUGCACCUACAGUUUGACAAACCAAACUCGACACACAAAACAUCUCAGAAACACAAGAAAAUCGUUGUAGCAAAGCCAUGAGGCCAUCACAAGCUCUCUCGCUUCUCGUUGUUGUCCUCCUCCUCGUCUCGUCCAGUGCUUCCAUCCUAGAAGACACGUGCAAGCGCUUCGACGGCGCUGACAUCUAUGAUAUCUGCAUCAAGUUCUUCAAGGCCAACAAGGACAGCGCCACCACAGACAAGCGUGGCCUUGCUGUCAUUGCCACUAAGAUUGCCAGUGCGACAGCUGUGGACACCCGCAAGCACAUUGCCAUCCUGAAGGCCGAGGAAAAGGACCAGAUGAUCCAACAGGUCCUCGCCUACUGUGACAAUAUGUACUCCAGAGCUAUGGGCUUGUUUGACAAAGCUGCCAGGGGCAUCUUGUCAGGCAGGUUGGGCGACGCGGUGACGAGCCUCAGCUCCGCGUUGGAUAUUCCCAAAUAUUGCGAUGACGAGUUCCUCCAGGCAGGCGUGAAGUCACCGUUCGAUGCUGAGAACAGCGAGUUCGAGACGCAAUGUGCCAUAACUCUGGGUGUAACGAAGAUGCUGACCUUGUAGUUAGCUAGCCAGCGAGGAUAUGAAUCUAGGUAACUACAACAAGAUUCCAUAGUAAUUUCGAUGAGCAAACUCCUCAAAAUUAAUAAGCCCACAAUGUUAUCACUGAA